GACGAACGCUGGCGGCGUGCUUAACACAUGCAAGUCGAACGGAAAGGCCCUGCUUUUGUGGGGUGCUCGAGUGGCGAACGGGUGAGUAACACGUGAGUAACCUGCCCUUGACUUUGGUAUAACUUCAGGAAACUGGGGCUAAUACCGGAUAGGAGCUCCUGCUGCAUGGUGGGGGUUGGAAAGUUUCGGCGGUUGGGGAUGGACUCGCGGCUUAUCUGCUUGUUGGUGGGGUAGUGGCUUACCAAGGCGUUGACGGGUAGCCGGCCUGAGAGGGUGACCGGCCACAUUGGGACUGAGAUACGGCCCAGACUCCUACGGGAGGCAGAAGGGGGGAAUAUUGCACAAUGGGCGGAAGCCGGAGGCAGCAACGCCGCGUGCGGGAUGACGGCCUUCGGGUGGUAAACCGCUUUCGCCUGUGACGAAGCGUGAGUGACGGUAAUGGGUAAAGAAGCACCGGCUAACUACGUG
rnacentral:rRNA from 1 species